AGUGGGCUAAAGGAAGAAAGGAGU
rnacentral:miRNA from 1 species